rnacentral:tRNA from 1 species
GCGGGUAUAACUUAGUUGGUUAGAGUGUCAGGUUGUGAUUCUGGAAGUCGGGGGUUCGAAUCCCCUUAUUCGC